rnacentral:misc_RNA from 1 species
AAAUAAGUGCCCUAAUCGGUUAAUCAGUACAGAACCCCAAUUCCAAAUCUCUCAUCUUCAUCGGCUCACUGCCACUGUUACCUCAGUGCCGGCGGUGGACUCUCCGAAAAAUUUAGUGAAUUCUUUACAGGUGAAGUACUUGAUGAUAUUUCUUAGCUGGACGCGUCCAUCUCCUGAAGAGCAGAAAGCAUGUAUCAACAAGUCUGGUUCCUUUAACUAUGAUAAAAGAUUUAGAGGAACUACUGAGAAACCUGCUCCUCUACUUAAGCAAGACAGUGAGCUUGCAAAGGAUGGUUUCUCUGUUAAUUGUGCUCGAGUAUUAGUCGGUUCAGGCCGUGAGACUUUUGAAAAGGGAAAAGCUGCCCUUCAAAAUUGGAGGCAUUUUGGAUUGAAUUGGGCGUUUGUUGAUCCAAAAGCUCAAAUUCAAAGUGGGACAAA